AUUGAACGCUGGCGGCAGGCUUAACACAUGCAAGUCGAGCGGGGGAAGGUAGCUUGCUACUGGACCUAGCGGCGGACGGGUGAGUAAUGCUUAGGAAUCUGCCUAUUAGUGGGGGACAACAUCUCGAAAGGGAUGCUAAUACCGCAUACGUCCUACGGGAGAAAGCAGGGGAUCUUCGGACCUUGCGCUAAUAGAUGAGCCUAAGUCGGAUUAGCUAGUUGGUGGGGUAAAGGCCUACCAAGGCGACGGUCUGUAGCGGGUCUGAGAGGAUGAUCCGCCACACUGGGACUGAGACACGGCCCAGACUCCUACGGGAGGCAGCAGUGGGGAAUAUUGGACAAUGGGGGGAACCCUGAUCCAGCCAUGCCGCGUGUGUGAAGAAGGCAUUAUGGUUGUAAAGCACUUUAAGCGAGGAGGAGGCUACUUUAGUUAAUACCUAGAGAUAGUGGACGUUACUCGCAGAAUAAGCACCGGCUAACUCUGUGCCAGCCGCCGCCGUAA
rnacentral:rRNA from 1 species